AGUGAACGCUGGCGGUAGGCCUAACACAUGCAAGUCGAACGGCAGCACAGUAAGAGCUUGCUCUUACGGGUGGCGAGUGGCGGACGGGUGAGGAAUACAUCGGAAUCUACUUUUUCGUGGGGGAUAACGUAGGGAAACUUACGCUAAUACCGCAUACGACCUACGGGUGAAAGCAGGGGAUCUUCGGACCUUGCGCGAUUGAAUGAGCCGAUGUCGGAUUAGCUAGUUGGCGGGGUAAAGGCCCACCAAGGCGACGAUCCUUAGCUGGUCUGAGAGGAUGAUAGGCCACACUGGAACUGAGACACGGUCCAGACUCCUACGGGAGGCAGCAGUGGGGAAUAUUGGACAAUGGGCGGAAGCCUGAUCCAGCCAUACCGCGUGGGUGAAGAAGGCCUUCGGGUUGUAAAGCCCUUUUGUUGGGAAAGAAAAGCAGCAGGUUAAUACCCCGCUGUUCUGACGGUACCCAAAGAAUAAGCACCGGCUAACUUCGUG
rnacentral:rRNA from 1 species